UGAAAAAUUAGCGGAUGACUUGUGGCUAGGGGUGAAAGGCCAAUCAAACUCGGAGAUAGCUGGUUCUCCCCGAAAGCUAUUUAGGUAGCGCCUCGGACGAAUACUACUGGGGGUAGAGCACUGUUAAGGCUAGGGGGUCAUCCCGACUUACCAACCCUUUGCAAACUCCGAAUACCAGUAAGUACUAUCCGGGAGACACACGGCGGGUGCUAACUGCUAAGUGGGAAACGAUGUGGGAAGGCUCAGACAGCUAGGAUGUUGGCUUAGAAGCAGCCAUCAUUUAAAGAAAGCGUA
rnacentral:rRNA from 1 species